UUAUGGUUAAAUAAAUUUAAAUUUAAAUAAUUUUAAAUUUUGAGUUUUAAUAUUUAUAAUGAUUAUAAAUUUUUAAUUUAAAAGAUAGUAAUUUUUAAAAAUAAUAAUUAAUUUAGUGCCAGCAAUUGCGGUUAGACUAAGAUUAUAAAUAAAUUUAAUUUAAGUUAUUAAUUUAUAUAAUUUAUGUUAAUUAUAUUUGUAAAAUAGAUAUUAUAUGGUGAAAUAUUUAAUAUUUAUUAUUAUAAAUAAUAAAAUUAUUUAGUAAUUAAAAAGUUUAGGGAAGAAAUUAGGAUUAGAUACCCUAUUAUUCUAAUUAAAUAAUAGAGCUUAGAAAUUAAAUGUUUAGAACAUUAAAUUUAAGUAUUUUGGCGGUAUUUAAAUGCAUUAGAGGAAUUUGUUGAGUAAUUGAUAAUCCACGAAAAGAAUAACCUAAUAUAAUAUUUAUGUAUUGUUGUUUUAAAAUUAUUUUAAAGGAAUUAUAAUUAAUAAUUUUUAAUUGAAAUUAAAUUCAAAUCAAAAUGUAGUAUAAUUAGGGUUUAAUGAAUUACUUUUUAUUUAAAUAAUUGAUUUAAAGUUUUAAUAUUUUAUUAAUAAAGGAUUUAAAAGUAAAUUUAAAUAAUUAUUUAGAUUGAAAUUUUACUUUAAAUAUGUACAAAUUGCCCGUCAUUUUCUUGAAUUUAUAAGAGAAAAAAGUCGUAACAAAGUAAGUGUAUAGGAAUAUGCAUUUAGAUUAAA
rnacentral:ncRNA from 1 species